AAUUAGCAAAUUGAUAGCAAGCAGCUCGAAUGCAUUGUCACUGUCUAGCUUAAUGUUCAUUGUUAGCUAGAGUCUUCGGAGACGUUUAUGAUGUUGAGUAUUGGUUUUAGUAUUCUCAAUUUUGCGGUUAGGAAUACAUAUUUGGAUUAAAGUUAGAAUCGGGGUUGAAUGCGAGAUGCCCGAUUGUAAUUAAAAUAUAAUUUUUGACUGCAGGUUAGGGCUGUAUUAUAGUUAUACUAGGUAAAUAACAGCUGCUUUUAUAUUUUAGACAUGCAAGUUACAUUGAGUUCACUUUGGAUUAAACUUUAUUGGAUAGUGUCACCUGGGGAUCUAAAACAUGUGUUUACGUUAGAGAUGUCGAUGUUCCUGAUUUUGUUUCAAGUACCAUCGUAUUAAUUGUUAUGAAAGAAUUAAACCGAUUUCAAAUUGGAUUCCAUUGCGG